CUGGAUCACGUUAUCAAUUGUAUUUGCUACGGCAUCUAUUGGAUUGAAUUUUCAGACAUUCAUAUUUUCCGGAAAUGAUCUGGACUUAUCCGUAUGUUCACUACCGUUUACUUUCUCUUCCUCGCCUGUCUAUUACAAAUGGAUGCCACGACAAAACUGCUCCUGUGGAUAUUGUGACAAAUCACCGUCAAUUUACCAAACAAUACACACUCUGUAAAAACUCCUGUAUCCCUUCUGGUGGAAUUAUAAUCUACAAUCUUCA